rnacentral:ncRNA from 2 species
AAUUUUAUCAAUUGGCUUUGAUUUUGGGAAGGCUGUGUAAAUCAGCCACUGUGCCGCAACGGUGAUCCCGACUAAGUCGGGAGAGUCCGAGACCACCAAAGCCUUCUUACCUCGA